UUUUUUUCACAAUAAAAGAGUCAGUUUACAAGUUAAAAGUGGAUUAAGGACGGAAUGGUAUCUAAAAAAAGGGAAGUGUGUCCAUCUCAUGCAAAGUAGGUGUGUUCUAGACAGUCCAAUAAGGAAAUCCAAUUUUUCAUGCACAUGCAAUGUUUCAUAUCAAAUCCAGUGCACAAGAAUCCCAGAGUAUGGCAGGGAUCGGGAGAAGACGAGAAGUAUGCAGUCUCAGCCUGUCCUCCAUCAUAAAGAGGUGGUUUUCAAAAUUUGAACCCGUGACCCUUAGGGUUCAGUGACGCCAAAA